rnacentral:misc_RNA from 1 species
GACUCUCGGCAACGGAUAUCUUGGCUCUCGCAUCGAUGAAGAACGUAGCGAAAUGCGAUACUUGGUGUGAAUUGCAGGAUCCCGUGAAUCAUCGAGUCUUUGAACGCAAGUUGCGCCCCAGGCCUUCGGGCCGAGGGCACGCCUGCCUGGGCGUCACGCACCGAGUCGCCCCCCCACCUCAAACUCUUUCGGUGUGGGAGCGGACAAUGGCCCCCCGUGCCCUGCGCGCGGCCGGCCCAAAACGAGGCCUCGGGAGGCAGGCGUCACGAUCCGUGGUGGUUGUAAAAGACACGCCCUGGUACCGGAUCACGUGCACGUCGCGCCGCGCCCCGAGCCACAAGUACCCCAAAAGGACCGUCCCCGGACGGCGCCCACUCU